UACGUAAAGGACUAGUGUUAGUCAUCUUUAUUAGGUUUAAAGGGUACCUAGACGGUAAAUAACACUUGAGUAGAGUACUUAUUUACUGGAGUUUUAUGUGAGAAGGAAGGACUUCUGGAGUAGUGAUAAAAUACGUUGAUAUCAGAGGGACUGGUAACGGCGAAGGCAUCCUUCUAUGUAAAAACUGACGUUGAGGGACGAAGGCUUGGGUAGCAAGAAGG
rnacentral:rRNA from 1 species